GAGGGUAUAGCUCAAGUGGUAGAGAGCAUGCUUACCAUGCAUAAGGUCUUGGGUUCAAUCCCUAGUUCCUCUG
rnacentral:tRNA from 1 species